AGCUUUUUGUUUUAAACCCAUUUCACAAUUCUGAUUAUACUGUGGGGACGAAAGUCUCUGCUUUUAACUAGAUAGCAACUUUCAGCAGUGGAUGUCUAGGCUCGCACAUCGAUGAAGAACGCUGCGAACUGCGAUACGUAAUGCGAAUUGCAGGAUUCAGUGAGUCAUCGAAAUUUUGAACGCAUAUUGCACUUCCGGGUUAGUCCUGGGAGUAUGCCUGUAUCAGUGUCCGUACAUCAAACUUGGCUUUCUUCCUUCCGUGUAGUCGGUGGAGGAUGUGCCAGAUGUGAAGUGUCUUGCGUGUUGUCCUUCGGGUCGACUGCGAGUCCUUUUAAAUGUACUGAACUGUACUUCUCUUUGCUCGAAAAGCGUGGUGUUGCUGGUUGUGGAGGCUGCCUGCGUGGCCAGUCGGCGACCGGUUUGUCUGCUGCGGCGUUUNAAGGAGGAGUGUUCGAUUCGCGGUAUGGUUGGCUUCGGCUGAACAGGCGCUUAUUGAAUGCUUUUCCUGCUGUGGCGUGAUGGGCUGGUGAACCGUAGCUGUGUUUGGCUUGGCUUUUGAAUCGGUUUUGCU
rnacentral:rRNA from 1 species